ACGACUCUCGGCAACGGAUAUCUCGGCUCACGCAUCGAUGAAGAACGCAGCAAAAUGCGAUACUUGGUGUGAAUUGCAGAAUCCCGUGAACCAUCGAGUUUUUGAACGCAAGUUGCGCCCGAAGCCAUUUGGUUGAGGGCACGUCUGCUUGGGCGUCACGC
rnacentral:rRNA from 1 species